ensembl:lncRNA
AGCUGUUGCCAGAGAGGUGAAUUUCCAUUUCUCUACCAUAAGCCACUUUCAAUGUCGUUUUAGAGAAUUCGUCAGUAUAUCCAUCACAAACGCAGACCACUUAAAUGGCGUCCUAUGGUUGAGUGGUUUGCUGAUGCCCCAUGGUGAUAGUGGUGUUAUGCCCGUGGAGAUAUCAAAACAGCUGCAAAAAAAUAAAAUUCCCAGCCAUAAACCUGAUGCAUCAGGAAGCACCACAGACCUGAGCGACACAAAUGAGAUCACACACCUGCCAUGUCUCCACCAUCCACGCUGGCACUGUGGGCCGACGCUGGAGACGAGAAGCAAGGGAGUGAACAUUUAAUGUAAAACAGACAUCAAACAAAACAAGAACAGUGUCUGGAUGGGGGGAACAAAACGACAUGACGACAAUAAUGCUGACACGGAGAAACAAACUGAGGAACAAACAGAUAUAGAGGGACAAUCAACAAGGUGAAGGAGACCAGAGGUGCCACCUGGCAUCCCACCUGGGCGAAGCAUGGGCGCUGGACAAGAUGGCCGAGGCGUAGAAGCCUGAUGAUCCAGCUGAGGCGUGGGAGCCUGACGAGCCGGCUGAGGCAUGAUGUGGGAUGGGAGCCUGCCGAUCCAACUGAGGAAAGGAAACCUCUCAAGCCAGCUAAGAUGUGG